GACGAACGCUGGCGGCGUGCUUAACACAUGCAAGUCGAACGGUAAGGCCCUUCGGGGUACACGAGUGGCGAACGGGUGAGUAACACGUGGGUGAUCUGCCCUGCACUUCGGGAUAAGCCUGGGAAACUGGGUCUAAUACCGGAUAGGACCACUGCCUGCAUGGGUGGUGGUGGAAAGCUUUUGCGGUGUGGGAUGGGCCCGCGGCCUAUCAGCUUGUUGGUGGGGUGAUGGCCUACCAAGGCGACGACGGGGAGCGGGCCUGAGAGGGUGACCGGCCACGCUGGGACUGAGAUACGGCCCAGACUCCUACGGGAGGCAGCGGUGGGGAAUAUUGCACACUGGGCGCAAGCCGGAUGCGGCGACGCCGCGUGAGGGAUGACGGCCUUCGGGUUGUAAACCUCUUUCAGCAUCGACGAAGCGAAAGUGACGGUAGGUGCAGAAGAAGGACCGGCCAACUACGUGCCAGCCGCCGCCGUAA
rnacentral:rRNA from 1 species